CCUACGGGAGGCUGCAGUGAGGAAUAUUGGUCAAUGGACGAGAGUCUGAACCAGCCAAGUAGCGUGAAGGAUGACUGCCCUAUGGGUUGUAAACUUCUUUUAUAUGGGAAUAAAAUGUUCCACGUGUGGGAUUUUGUAUGUACCAUAUGAAUAAGGAUCGGCUAACUCCGUGCCAGCAGCCGCGGUAAUACGGAGGAUCCGUGCGUUAUCCGGAUUUAUUGGGGUUAAAGGGAGCGUAGGUGGAUUGUUAAGUCAGUUGUGAAAGUUUGCGGCUCAACCGUAAAAUUGCAGUUGAAACUGGCAGGCUUGAGUACAGUAGAGGUGUGCGGAAUUCGUGGUGUAGCGGUGAAAUGCUUAGAUAUCACGAAGAACUCCGAUUGCGAAGGCAGCUCACUGGACUGCAACUGACACUGAGGCUCGAAAGUGUGGGUAUCAAACAGGAUUAGAUACCCCAGUAGUC
rnacentral:rRNA from 1 species